rnacentral:rRNA from 1 species
UACAUAGGGUGCGAGCGUUGUCCGGAAUUAUUGGGCGUAAAGAGCUCGUAGGCGGUCUGUCGCGUCGGAUGUGAAAGCCCGGGGCUUAACCCCGGAUCUGCAUUCGAUACGGGCAGACUAGAGUGUGGUAGGGGAGAUCGGAAUUCCUGGUGUAGCGGUGAAAUGCGCAGAUAUCAGGAGGAACACCGGUGGCGAAGGCGGAUCUCUGGGCCAUUACUGACGCUGAGGAGCGAAAGCGUGGGGAGCGAACAGG